GUUAACGAUAGAGAACAGAUGUGUGGGGCCGAUGCAGUUUCUUACUAAGAAUGAGGUCAUGUCACUGAAGCUCACUCUGUUUCCUCUAUGACGCUGGUCCACUUUUCUGAUCUGUUCAGUUCGUCACAGCCAUCCCAGCUUCUUCUACAACUUCAAAAACCCACAUCAUUUUGUGAUAAUCUUUUCAUGGACAUACAGAUCACAGAAAUGGCAAACACGUAGCAUUGAAGCAGAUGUUUGAUGACUCAAGUCUUCAGUUCAGCGUUACUCCCAUGACCUGCUGAGUCUGAUUGUGGCAGUUAGAUACUGCGACUGUCAUCAACACUGCUCGGUUUAACCUUCCUGCUCACCAAAGUUAAAUAGUGCAAGGGCAGAGGUUCAGGUGUAGCGUGGGAUUGAAAAAGAGACUCCAUUCUCUAAGUGACCAAUCAAAAUAGUUGUAGUUUAUUGUUACAUUUCAUAUUACCAUGUUUUUGUUUUAACUAGUAGAAUAAUGUAAUGUAAAGCACUUUCUAAUUCUGUUUUGAAAGGUAAGUGCCACAUAACUUACUAUUACUAUUUUGAGGUGGUAACCAAGUUACUCAGUGUAAAUCUUUUUCUUAUUCAUUCUCUUUUUUUUACGGCUUUAUCCUUCACAUCAGGGUCACAUGGGCCAGGAGCCAAUCCCUGCUGACAUAGGCUGAAAGUGGGAGGAAAAUGGAGAAUCCAGAGGAAAAAAGGCCCUCAGUUCCACUGGGAUCCAAACUGUGAGGCUGAUGACCUGUCCAGGAUUUACCCAGCAUCCUGCCUGCCCACACCGAUGAUCCCUGAAGCAGUGUAUGUGAUGAUACAUGGUACAUCUACACUGGAUGCAAAAAACGUCAACAUAACAGUGGUGAAUACUCUCUUUCCUCAUCCAAAAUUCAAAUUCUUCCUCGCAUAAAGAAGACUUCAGAGCCAGCACCUGGCUCAGAUUUAAGGUGCAGAGUCAGGGAAGAAGACCAUUGAUGCUAUCUGCCAGACAGACUUCCCCCUUUCUUCAGAUAUCCAGCCCAUCAUUUAAACUUCCCUACAAUCACAUGCACAUGCGUAGGACCACAUCAUCAAAUUGUUGCGACAUGUGUUGCAUUUAUUUUUUUUUAAUUCGUCUUCCUCAGCAGCAGCAGCAACAUCCAAACUAAUAGCUCAAAUGUUUCAUUAUCAUAGCAGUUGAUCUUAAUAAUCUGCUUUAGCUGCCCGAGGCGUCAAGACGUACAGCACAUGUCGACACUUGAAAUGUCUCAGUCUGUGUUUACCAGCAGUCUUAAAUUACACUACAGAAACACACACACAUACACGCAUGCUUGGGCAGCAUUUGUAGUGAGGACACUCACUCAUAAUUACCCUAAUCUUAUCUAUCACAACUAAAUGCCUGACCCUAAUCCCAACGUAAAACCCAAUUCAAACCCCCAAAAACAAGUCUCGAGAUCUGAUCACCUCCAUCGUCAGCACAUCGUGGCUGAUGAGUUUGAGGUGAUGCCUUCAGGUCGCCGGUACCAUGCAACCCGGUGUAAUACUUUUGAAAUUAUUUUAUUCCUUCAGCGAUCAGGCUGCUGAACUCAGAUACAUUAAAAAUAGCACUUUUAAUCCUAAACAUUAUCAUUUAAUGAACCAUGACUUCAUUGUCUGUCAAUUCGUUGGUGUUGACUAUUAUUAAAUUGUUCAGGUCGGCUGAAUGUAACGCAGAUGU